GUGGGGAAUUUUGGACAAUGGGCGCAAGCCUGAUCCAGCAAUACCGCGUGCAGGAAGAAGGCCUUCGGGUUGUAAACUGCUUUUGUACGGAACGAAACGGUCCGGGUUAAUACCCUGGGCUAAUGACGGUACCGUAAGAAUAAGCACCGGCUAACUACGUGCCAGCAGCCGCGGUAAUACGUAGGGUGCAAGCGUUAAUCGGAAUUACUGGGCGUAAAGCGUGCGCAGGCGGUUUUGUAAGACAGGCGUGAAAUCCCCGGGCUCAACCUGGGAAUUGCGCUUGUGACUGCAAGGCUGGAGUGAGGCAGAGGGGGAUGGAAUUCCGCGGGUAGCAGUGAAAUGCGUAGAUAUGCGGAGGAACACCGAUGGCGAAGGCAAUCCCCUGGGCCUGCACUGACGCUCAUGCACGAAAGCGUGGGGAGCAAACAGGAUUAGAAACCCCAGUAGUCC
rnacentral:rRNA from 1 species